rnacentral:rRNA from 1 species
AUGCGCUCGUCCAUCUACGCUUUGCCGCCGUCGUCCUACUCCUCCUACAUUGAGACCAGCCCGCGCCCCAAGCCGUACUUCACCGUUGCCACAAGGGCUGCAGGAAAGGAGAACCUCCACUUCCAUGACGCCGACGACGCCGACGAGGCGCCUUUCGACCUCACCGACGCGAGCACGGACGACUGGGCAGCGACGGUGGCGCCGACCAGCCCGCUGUUCGAGAUGGGCAGGCUCUACGACCUCUACUCCGCGGGGCGCAACGAGCGGCUCAAGCACAAGCACGGCUGGUACGCCGCUGGCGAGGAGGAGGCGGGGUCCAUGGCCGAGGACCCUUGCAUGGUCGUAGAGCCCCUGCUGAGGAGGUCGAUGCCGGCAGCAGCAGCAGCCGAGUUCUCGCAGAGGCAGAGCUACAGGGCCAGCGGCGGCCUGAGCGCCAUGAGGUCCUCGCUGAGGAUUCAAAUCCGUGAGAAUUCAACGGACGGAUGA